CCGCAGAAGACGAGCGCCGCUGCCGCCGCCUCCUCCUCCCGGGCUCCCGGGCUCUCGGGGUCCGGGGCCUUUGCACCUGUCUUUUCCAGCUGGGCACAAAGCCUUUUGCUGUCGCCGUGGCGACUGGAGGCCUUCACUUUUAAUCCCCCUCAUUUUCCAGUUCAUUCUCUGCUUAUUUUCUGGUCAGUCCGUGACCCUGUAGGCGGCCUCUGACCGGCGAUCGAUUUGCCGCCCUCAGGGCGCUGGGCGGCCGGCUGCCUCCGAAGCUGGGGCGGCCUCCGCGGUCUCCAUGGUAACGGCCUCUCCGGCGUCUCCGCCUGGAGGGGAAGAUGCGGCCUGCCUGGCCCGCCGCCUCGCCCCCGGCCUCACGGUGGGACCCCGGGCACUGAGGACGGAGGUCCCGGGCGCCGGCCCGCGGGGCAACGGGCACUAGUGAAAUCCCAUUCUCUGGCUGGAGACACAGAUGGCCUCAAAUGAGAGAGAUGCUAUAUCGUGGUACCAAAAGAAGAUUGGAGCCUACGAUCAGCAGAUAUGGGAAAAGUCAAUCGAACAGACUCAGAUUAAGGGUUUGAAAAACAAACCGAAAAAGAUGGGCCACAUAAAGCCAGACUUGAUUGACGUUGACUUAAUCAGAGGGUCAACAUUUGCCAAAGCAAAACCUGAAAUUCCAUGGACAUCUCUGACUCGGAAGGGGCUUGUUCGAGUUGUAUUUUUUCCAUUGUUCAGCAAUUGGUGGAUUCAGGUUACCUCUUUAAGAAUCUUUGUUUGGCUGUUACUACUUUAUUUCAUGCAAGUUAUAGCAAUUGUCUUAUAUUUGAUGAUGCCUAUUGUGAACAUAAGUGAAGUACUUGGACCCUUGUGCCUUAUGCUACUCAUGGGAACUGUCCACUGUCAAAUUGUGUCUACUCAGAUAACAAGACCAUCAGGAAACAAUGGAAAUCG
rnacentral:lncRNA from 1 species